rnacentral:rRNA from 1 species
GAUGAACGCUGGCGGCGUGCCUAAUACAUGCAAGUCGAGCGAACAGACGAGGAGCUUGCUCCUCUGACGUUAGCGGCGGACGGGUGAGUAACACGUGGAUAACCUACCGAUAAGACUGGGAUAACUUCGGGAAACCGGAGCUAAUACCGGAUAAUAUAUUGAACCGCAUGGUUCAAUAGUGAAAGACGGUUUUGCUGUCACUUAUAGAUGGAUCCGCGCCGCAUUAGCUAGUUGGUAAGGUAACGGCUUACCAAGGCGACGAUGCGUAGCCGACCUGAGAGGGUGAUCGGCCACACUGGAACUGAGACACGGUCCAGACUCCUACGGGAGGCAGCAGUAGGGAAUCUUCCGCAAUGGGCGAAAGCCUGACGGAGCAACGCCGCGUGAGUGAUGAAGGUCUUCGGAUCGUAAAACUCUGUUAUUAGGGAAGAACAAAUGUGUAAGUAACUAUGCACGUCUUGACGGUACCUAAUCAGAAAGCCACGGCUAACUACGUG